rnacentral:lncRNA from 1 species
AGUUCAUUUCCUCCUCAGCCUCACACCUGCUGUGCCUUUGGCUUGGAGCAGCUCCCUCUUCGACCCCACACCCACCUUGUCCACCUGGAAAACUUCGAAUCACCCCCAAUCCCAGCUGUACCCCCUCAUCUUGAUGAGUCCUUCUCAGGUGGAGUGAGGGACUCUUCUUGAAAACAGCAGGCUCACUCCCACCUCCAGGCCUAUGCAGCUGCUACACACUGUUCCCUCUGCCACCAAUGUCCUCUUCCUCUUCUACCAAUAAGCUGUAGGUCAUCUUUAACACACGGUUCACAGGCCACCUCCUCUGUAAAGCCCUCCUUGACUCUCUACCCCAACAACAUCAGUAUUUUCCUCCUCUGAGCUGCCCCAGGCCCCACAUCCCCGUUUGCCACAGCCCUGAUCACCUCAAGCUGUGACCAUCUGUGUCUGUAGCACCUCCCCCUCCUAGUCCUGGAGGCCCUUCAGGUAGAAACAGGGUCUGACUCAUGAGGGAGCUUUGCUCAAGUGAGCCCUGCAUGUCCUCACUUGAGCAAACACCUCCUGGUACCCUUCCUGAGCCGUCUCCUGAGCUACCCAAGGCUGGAAACCCUGGUGCCAGUGGUACCAAGCCCCUAGCCUCAGGCUCCCAGCCUAGCUAGGGAGAAACAGCCAAAUACACAGAGGAAUGUGUGCAGAGCUCACACAACUCUCUCUUCUAAGCUCUAAGGGUUAGCGUGAUGUGGGCAGACAAGGAAACUGAGGCAGGGGCAGGGAAGACUUUGCUUCUAGGAGGGAAGCUGGGAUUCCUAUAAGACCCCCACCUCCCCACCAUGGCUUCCUGUUGCUUUGGAGCCCUUCUUAUGGAGACAUUCCCUGGCACUCUCUUCCAUGGCAGCACCUAAAUGGGAGAACAUCCGGGGUCAAGCAUGAACUGCACUGCGUUGUCUUUAUGAAAGAGAAACAAAAACUCAGGACCCCAAUUCACUGUGACAGAAGGAAAAAAAAAAAACUGGAAGCUGAGUCAUGCAAGAAACUGCCUUUCCUUUUGUUCCUAAGCAGACAGCUACAGAGAAAAGGCCUUCGUGUACUGACCAGAGGAGCAAAAAUGAAUAAAAGGAUUACAACAUGAGGCUGACAUUGCUGUGCGCCUAUAUCCUUGAGUGCUGGUGGCCCCAUGGAUUAGAUCAACACCUUGGAAGCUAAUUUGACACUAGACCAACAAAGUCCUUUGACCUGGAGUUUCACUUUGGCAAAAAAUAAUAAAUAAAUAAAUAAAUAAAAUCCCUAAAGUGUAUAAAGAGAAAGGAAGUUGUGAUAUUUGGAAAUUGUGGGCUUUGAGUAAAGAGGCUGAUAUUCUAGACCUGCUAUCAUUUCACUAUUACCUGAACAAUUUACUUCCUCUUUCUAGCCUUCCAUCUCUUCCUGCAAAAUAAGGCAUGCUUUUCAAUCUCUUCACCAUACAGGAAAAGGAAAUAGAAAUAGAAAUAAAUAAAGCCCACUCCAGGAGCAGUGGCUCACGCCUGCUGUCCCAACACUCUGGGAGGCUGAGGCGGGCGGAUCGCAUGAGCUCAGGAGUUCCAGGCCAGCCUGGGCAACAUAGAGAAACCCCGUCCCUACCAAAAAUAUAAAAAAGUAGCCAGGCAUGGUGGUGUGCACCUGUAGUCCCAGGUACUUGGGAGGCUGAGGUGGAAUGAUCUCUUGAGCCUGGGAAGUGGAGGUUGCAGUGAGCCAAAAUUGCAUCAUUGCACUUCAGCCUGGAUGAUAGAGCAAGACCCCCUGUCAAAAAAGACAAAGAAAGAAAGAAAUAGACAAAGCCCAAUGCUAGCAGUGCUGUGGAACUAACAUCUUAGGAUUGGUGAAGAGAGUGGACAUAGCACUUGUGGAAAGAGCCAUAUUUCCUGGGGGCCAUAAGGCCACAUAUGCCCUGUGAAGACUGACCAGGGAGUGUUGGGCUGCUACCCACAUUUCAUCUAUUUGUCAGGCAAAAAUGCUUUAAAGAUCAUUCCACUUGACUUUCCUUUAAAUAAAAAUCAUGUGGGAAUGGAAUGGAAUUGACGAGUGGCAUGGUGUAUGCUGAAAUUUUUAGAAGCUGCCAGAUUGCUUUCCAUAGUGGUUGUACCAUCUUACAUUCCCACCAGCAGCGUGAGCGUUCCAGUGCCUCCACAUCCUUGCCAACACUUGGCGUGGUCACUCUUUUUAAUCUUAGCCAUUCUAAUAGUUCUGUAGUGGUUUUAUUGUCUUAUUUUCUUAUUGUGGUUUUAUUCUGCAUGUUUUUAUUGAGACAGAGCCUCAUUACGUUGCCCAGGCUGGAGUACAGUGGGCCCAUCAUAGCUCACUUUCUUUUCAGGAAAGUCUUCCCUGAUCUUUCAGUCUAGGUCAGAAGCCCAGUAAUAUACAGUCAUAAGGCCCCAUAUUUAUUCUUUUUGUGAUUUUUUUUGAGAUGGAUUUUUUUUUCACUCCAGACUGGAGUGGAAUGGCACAGUCUUGGCUAAAUGCAAGCUCCACCUCCCGGGUUCAAGCCAUCCUUGUGCCUCAGCCUCCCAAAUAGCUGGGAUUACAGGCAUGAGCCACUAUACCCAUCUAAUUUUUAAAUUUUUGGUAGAGACAGGGUAUUAGCAUGUUGCCCAGGCUGGUCUCGAACUCCUGACUUCAUCAGCUUCCCAAAGUGCUGAGAUUAAAGGUGUGAGCCACCAUGCCUGGCUCAAGUUUGA